GACGAACGCUGGCGGCGCGCUUAACACAUGCAAGUCGAGCGAGAACCAGGGCUUCGGCCCUGGGGACAGCGGCGAACGGGUGAGUAACACGUGGAUAACCUGCCCUCGGCACCGGGAUAGCCCGGGGAAACCCGGAUUAAUACCGGAUGGCCCUUCCGGCUUUCGAGCUGGUCGGAAAAGGUAGCUUCGGCCUCCGGCCGAGGAUGGGUCCGCGGCGGAUUAGCUUGUUGGUGGGGUAACGGCCUACCAAGGCGACGAUCCGUAGCUGGUCUGAGAGGACGAUCAGCCACACUGGGACUGAGACACGGCCCAGACUCCUACGGGAGGCAGCAGUGGGGAAUCUUGCGCAAUGGGCGAAAGCCUGACGCAGCGACGCCGCGUGAGGGAGGAAGGCCUUCGGGUUGUAAACCUCUUUCAGGAGGGACGAAGCUACUCGGGUGAAUAGCCCAGAGGGUGACGGUACCUCCAGAAGAAGCCCCGGCUAACUACGUGCCAGCAGCCGCGGUAAUAC
rnacentral:rRNA from 1 species